rnacentral:snRNA from 1 species
GUCGAUUUUGAUUUAUAUGACAUCCGAUAAAAUUGGAACGAUACAGAGAAGAUUAGCAUGGCCCCUGCGCAAGGAUAAUCCGCACAAAUCGAGAAUUGGUCAAAAGAAAA